GACGAACGCUGGCGGCGUGCUUAACACAUGCAAGUCGAACGGUGAAGGGACCGGUUUUUGCUGGUUCUGGAUGAGUGGCGAACGGGUGAGUAACACGUGAGUAACCUGCCCCCUUCUUCUGGAUAACCGCAUGAAAGUGUGGCUAAUACGGGAUAUUCUGCGCCUGCUGCAUGGUGGGUGUGGGAAAGAUAUUGUUUCGGUGGGGGAUGGGCUCGCGGCCUAUCAGCUUGUUGGUGGGGUGAUGGCCUACCAAGGCGGUGACGGGUAGCCGGCCUGAGAGGGUGGACGGUCACACUGGGACUGAGACACGGCCCAGACUCCUACGGGAGGCAGCAGUGGGGAAUAUUGCACAAUGGGCGCAAGCCUGAUGCAGCGACGCCGCGUGAGGGAUGGAAGCCUUCGGGUUGUAAACCUCUUUCGCCAGUGAAGCAGGCCUGUCCCUUGUGUGGGUGGGUUGACGGUAGCUGGAGAAGAAGCGCCGGCUAACUACGUG
rnacentral:rRNA from 1 species